AAUUGAUAAAGAUUUAUUUUCUAAUUGAUCUGGAGUACAGUGCGUGGCCGCCUGGGCAGAGGGGCCGUGAGAGAUUUUCCUGUCUCAAUUGUUUGAAGGAUAUUUUGGAAAGAUAGCUGCCAGACAGGUUUUCACUCUCACACUCCAUAAAAUGUUUUUUUACAU